AAGGUUCGAUUCGAGCGUCAGCGAGAAAGCGUUGCCGCAGGCAACGACCCGAAGGGCGAAGCGCGCAGCGCUGAGUAAUCCUUCCCCCACCACCA
rnacentral:sRNA from 1 species